CGCCUGGUUAGCUCAAUCGGUAGAGCGUGAGACUCUUAUGAGUUCACUUUCUCAGAAAGCGAUUGAUUUAAGCAACAAUCUCAAGGUUGCGGGUUCGACCCCCGCAUCGGGCUU